ACACUUGGUGAAGCGGGGUGACACUUGGUGAAGCGGGGUGACACUUAGUGAAGUGGAGUGACACUUGGUGAAGCGGGGUGACACUUGGUGAAGCGGGGUGACACUUGGUGAAGCGGGGUGACACUUAGUGAAUUGCAGACCUGCUAAACGAAGUCGUUGGAUUACUUUCCCGCAAGUCUACUAACCAGUGGAAGUAAGGAAACGUGAUGUUAAUUACUAUCAGUACCUUGAGCUGCACUAUCAAAGGUCAAGCGAAACACAAUAUUCUGUGAAGCGCAAGCGCAGUCUACUUACUACAACGUCAUCUAACGUGACGACUCAAGUUUACAAGUGUACUCUAGAGAUCUGUAGUUAUACGGC